rnacentral:sRNA from 2 species
UAUUCUGCCCUACGGGGAAGGAUGAGAAGCUUCGACUAAGGUUCGACUCGAGCGCCAGCGAGAGAACGUUGCCGCAGGCAACGGCCCGAAGGGCGAGGAGCGAUAGCGACGAGUUAUCCUUCCCCCACCACCA